GUUUAAAAUCCUGUAGUGUGAACUAGGCUUAAGCCUGGUCUCUCUCCUUCACUUUGGUCAACUGGUGAAGUUUGUUCCUCCACUUUCUCCACUGGUCUGCUUGGUUUGGGUCUUGUGGAUCUGUUGGAUGGAUCUGCUCUUCAGUGUUUGGACUCUCAGCGGUGAAGAUUAAAGCACACUGCACUGAACAGAACUGAACUUCAGCUCUGAACACUGGACUGACACAGCUUCAGUUUACUAGAACUUCAGUGUUCAGCUGCUGCCACAAUCUACUGUAGAGGCGCUGGAGGAACACUGAGGAGCUGAACUGAAUGUGUGAUAAACUCUGCUCUAUGAGUUAAUAAAGUCCUCAUUCAGAUCAGUGUUGAUCCAGCUCACGUCACUGAACACACAUUAACUCAAAACACGACUAAACUCAUUCCCUCUGCUGCGCGCUGAACAGAUUUAUAACGCGGUAAAUGUUCAAGCUGCUGUUGAAGUAAAUAAUGAGGCAUGUGACUCCGCGCGCAGCGUAACCCUCAGAAAGAAACUACAUUUCCCAGAAUACAGCGCGCGCUCUACUUCCUCAGCCGCAGCGCAGAGUCUCCGCACUCAAACAGCACCAAACCACUGUGUGUGUCCUAAUUAUCUCUCACAAUGAGAGAAACACACUCCAUAUUUCAGCUCGGGAAUAAAUGAAGCCCGUUUCUAAGGGGUUGGUGCUGAAACUCAAGUGUGCCAAGAAGAAUCAUGAACCUUCAUCAGGUGCUCACGGGCGCCGUCAACCCUGGAGACAACUGCUUCUCUGUGGGACGCAUACACAACCAGCCCUUCACGGCGUACGCCUCUGGCUGUGACAUCGUGAUUCUGGGCAGUGACUUUGAAAGGAUUCAGAUCAUCCCAGGAGCCAAUCAUGGCAACGUUCAGGUGGGCUGCGUGGACUGUUCACCACAGGGCGGACAGGUAAGUCACACACACACAUAUA